rnacentral:rRNA from 1 species
CAUUCAAAGAGUGCGUAAUAGCUCACUAGUCGAGUGACCCUGCGCCGAAAAUGUACCGGGGCUAAACAUAUUACCGAAGCUUUGGAUUGAUAUUUUAUCAAUGGUAGGAGAGCGUUCUUAACCGCGAUGAAGGUAUACCGUGAGGAGUGCUGGAGCGUUAAGAAGUGAGAAUGCCGGUAUGAGUAGCGCAAGAUAAGUGAGAAUCUUAUCCACCGUAAGACUAAGGUUUCCAGGGGAAGGCUCGUCCGCCCUGGGUUAGUCGGGACCUAAGGCGAGGCCGAAAGGCGUAGUCGAUGGACAACUGGUUGAUAUUCCAGUACU